rnacentral:rRNA from 1 species
CCCUUAGAUGUUCUGGGCCGCACGCGCGCUACACUGACGGAGGCAGCGAGCGUGUCCUUCGCCGGCAGGUGCGGGCAAUCUUGCGAGUCUCCGUCGUGCUGGGGAUAGAUGGUUGCAAUUGUCGAUCUUGAACGAGGAAUUCCUAGUAAGCGCGAGUCAUCAGCUCGCGCUGAUCACGUCCCUGCCCUUUGUACACACCGCCCGUCGCUACUACAGAGUGCCCGUGUCCAAGAAACGGUCGGACCUGUGCGGCCUCUCCGGGCGACCGGAGGGCCGUUACGGGGAAGACCCUUUAUUUGACGCGGGUCGAUGAAGUAAAAGUCGUAACA